UACGGGGGGGGCAAGCGUUGUUCGGAAUUACUGGGCGUAAAGGGCUCGUAGGCGGCCCACUAAGUCAUAUGUGAAAUCCCCAGGCUCAACCUGGGAACUGCAUCUGAUACUGGUGGGCUUGAAUUCGGGAGAGGGAUGCAGAAUUCCAGGUGUAGCGGUGAAAUGCGUAGAUAUUAGGAAGAACACCGAUGGCGAAGGCAAUCCCCUGGGCCUGCACUGACGCUCAUGCACGAAAGCGUGGGGAGCAAACAGG
rnacentral:rRNA from 1 species